UGAUGGAGACAUGAAGGAGGGGAGUGGGAGGAGGAGGAGAGAAGGAGGGAGGGAGGGAGGAGGGGAGGGAAGGGAGGGAGGAGAGGAGAGAUGCAGGGCUGGGAUGUGCACCACCGCGAUGCGGAGAUCUGUGAGAAAGCUUGUUCGGGGGGGAAAGAAGAACUAGCGCAGUUAGUUAGCAAAAUAAUGACUUUCUUUUAUGACUGAUACGACAUGAAUAGAGGAACAGAGCGGAGGGGAGUGGACCAUGGAGACGGAGGUGGAUGAGAGAAGGAGGGGUGGAGGUUGAAUGGGGAAGACAUGGAGGAGAGAAGGACCUGGUUGGCUCGACUGAUGGCUGGAAGGACGGAUGGACGCAUGAUGGGAGGUUCAUAGAGAGAGAGAGAGAGAGAGAGAGAGAGAGAGAGAGAGAGAGAGAGAGAGAGAGAGAGAGAGAGAGAGAGAGAGAGAGAGAGAGAGAGAGAGAGAGAGAGAGAGAGAGAGAGAGAGAGAGAGAGAGAGAGAGAGAGAGAGAGAGAGAGAGAGAGAUACAUGGAUGUGUGCAGAGAGAGGGCGAGGGACAGGGAGAGAUGGAGAGCCAGAACAGUGGCUUCAGGGAAAGGCAGGAAAAUGCAAAGUCAGUGGCCCCACAGACCACCGCUUGGCACCUCUGGGCGGGAUGGGAAAGCUGAUAUCUCUUGUUCGACAAAACGCCCUGCAGCCCAACGCCCGGUAAACACGCUCUGAAUUCUGCAGACUAAGGGCUUAUAGAACCACCAUCUCUCACCCCCCCCCCCCCCCCCCCCCCCCCCUCCCGCUGGGCUGAGCUGAGGCACAGCCAUGCUCAAUAUGUCUAAUUAGCUAUUAGCUCUUUCAAUUAUUUCAUUCUCCCUGAAAGUUGCCGAUUUUUUUUUAUCAAGCCCCACCCUCGGGAUUGUUUGUUACUUUGGGCGGGGGGGGUGGGGGGGGGGGAAGGGGGAGGUAGAUGUAAUUAUUCUCUCAGCAUGCGGACGUACCGAGGCAUCGAUUGUUCACACAGCAAAACAAUAUCUGUAAAUCACACGUGGGCCGGGGGCUGGCGACAGGGUCCUCUGGGAGGGGGGGGCUGAGUUAUGACAGGGGGGGGGUGCGAGAGGAUCCACUCUGAUGGAAUUUGGUCUGGAUUAACGACCGGUAAUGACAGGAAUACGGAGGGGAGCGCGGGAAGGCUGCGAGUAAAGACGUGUUUGUUUGUGUGCGUGCGUACGUGCGUGUUUGUGUGUGCGUGCAUGCGUGUGUUUGGUGAAAGAUAUGGUGGGUGGGGUAGGGGGGGGGGGAGGGGGCAGGUGGUAAAUUAGAGUCAUGAAUUACCCUGGAACUCAGAAUGCCGGCCCACCUCAGCUUGUAACGCCCUCGUUGUUAGCGCAAAUCUCUGGUUCCCGGCAGGCGGGGAGGGGUGCGUUGAAAGUGGCUCUCACCGGGAACUCUGAUGCUGUUUUUGACGACUGCGUUCACUGGCUCUGUGUGUGUGUGUGUGUGUGUGUGUGUGUGUGUGUGUGUGUGUGUGUGUGUGUGUGUGUGUGUGUGUGUGUGUGUGUGUGUGCGCGCAAUCCAUCGACUGGAGUGACCUGGGCUAUCAGACGGGAGACAGAUGUCUCGGCAUCUGGAGAGACGCGACUGGUUUGAGUGGAUUGAUAGUCAGCCAAUGAGCAAGGGGACACUCGAGGUCCCUGUGCCCGCCCCUUCGUUCCCAUUGGACUGAUUGGACGGCUGGAGGCCUUGUGAUAAGGAGGGCAGCUCUGUCAUAGGGGGGCGGGCCUUGGAAACAAACAACCCACACCACCUCAACUGUUGACCCAACUGGUGUUGUUUACGGACUGACUCACAAACACAUGUUGACACACGCUGACACACAUGCAGGCACAUACUUAGAAACACAAAAAUACACUCAGAAACACACACACACACACAAACAAGGACACACAUGAUGACACACACACACACACACAUGCAUACACGCACUCAGAAACCACACACAUACAUACUCAGGAACACACACACACACACACAUAAACACACACAUACACUCAUACAAACACACACACACACGGAGGUACAAAUGCAAGGACAGACAUAAGACACACGCAUACAAACUAACGCCACAAACACACGCAUGCGCACACACACACACACACACACACUUACCGGGUCGGAACUUCCUUCCUUCCUGUAAAUGUUGGCUGGCAUCAGAGGGUGUCACGGAGUCCCGACAUGAGACUCGUUUUCACAACAGCCAGCUUCCGAGAACGUCUGUCCGGGAACGUGUCACUAAUGAGAGGGGAUGUUCGGCCGAGCGUCGCCGCGACAACAAGAGUUCCGGUAACCAUAGCCCUGGAACCGGGUUGUUGACAGAACGGUAGCGUGACAGAGUUGGCAGGCUGAGGCUGAGGACACACUUAGGAUGUUGAGGUCCUGGCUUAGGAUGGAUGGAGCAGCCACUGAUGGAUGUGGAUGGAGGGGAGGUUGAUGGAUGGAUGAAGGGAUGGAGGGAUGGGUGAAUGGAUGAUGGAGGAUGGAUGGAUGAUGGAGGCAUGUGGGAUGAUGGGUAGAGGGGUACAAAAAGACAGACAGAGAGCGAGAGAGGGAGUGAUUGACUGCAGGGCGGUAGAGAAAUUUGAAAAUGUGAGCUAUGUAACGGGGGAGUUGUUUUUUCUCAAAACUGCCAAAGCAAAGUUGUAAACGAUUAAGAAUGCUAACUGAUCGCACACAAAUAAAUUGAAUAUCGAUGAUACUUUGAAUGAUUUGAAAAGUCGAUGAUUUUGUGAAGAGGUAAAUCUGUAUGCAUUUUGUAAAAAAAAAAAAAGAAGGGAUUUCUUUGAGAUUUUCUGAAAGCGCUUCUAUGACUUGUAAAUAAAUUAAAAAACCUGUCAAAUGUGAA